rnacentral:lncRNA from 1 species
AGACACCAUCUCCGGCCUGAGCUUCACGAUCUCUUUUCCCAAUUCUAGAUGCCCAUGAAGCGCUGCUAUGUGUAGAAUCGUGUUUGAUGACCCUGAAGGGAUUUUUUGGUUAAUUAUGUUUUCAUUUCCUUCAAAUAGGCUAAGGAAGGUAAGCACAUCGCCUUUCAGGACGAUCUCUUGAAGUCCUCGGUCCAUUUUCGAAUAUUGAAAAGAGAGAAAGAGAGCAGAGAGAAACUAAUGGAGGGAAUGGCUUGUAGGGAAACAAAAGAAGAAGAAGAAGAGGUUAAUAAUAAUGGAGGAGGCAUAAAGCAGAGCCCGCAAAGGCAUUUCCAUUCCACAAUGGAAGAAACCAUGAAGUUUCUCCGCAGUUACAAUGUAUGGGGUUAAGGGUCCUUAUCAUUUUUUUUUUUUUUUUUUUUUGAGAAAAAAUUUCUUAUCAUUGUCAUCAUCAUCAUCAUCGUUAUUAUUAUUAUUAUUGUUAUUUGCGUAUUCAUUAGUUUAUUCUGAAUAUAUGUGAGUGGCCUCUAUUAGUCGUUGCAGGGUCAAUGGACAUGAUUUUUUUUUUUUUGAAUUUUUUAUAACUAGAAUUUAUUUUUUAGAAUUAGUUUAUGUAUUUAUCCUCAAAAAAAAAAAAAAAAAAAAAAAAAUUUAUGUAUCGACUCGUUGUUAAUUUGUUUAUUCGAAAUUUACCUCCAAGUGUUGAGAUAGAAACCUAAUCCUAAUUAAUUGACAAAAUGAGAAGAAAUCCAUUUUCUUACACUCCCUCUUAAUAUAAAAUAAUUAAUAAAAUAAAUUCAUUUUGUCGAUAAAAAAAAUAUAAAAUAAAAUGUCAAACGUAGCAGACAGUUUUUUUUAUUAAUGGUUGAAAUUAAAAUUUUUUUUAAAGGUUUAUUAAUAAGGAAAGGUGUUGUUCCAGAAGUAGAUAUGGCGAGGUCGGGCUCUUAUCUUUGUCAAUAGUACCGGCACACACCUCCUUUGCCGCCGGCUUUUGUUCUCUAUUUCUGUUCAUAGGAAAUUGAAAAGGGUCAGGUUGGACUAAUCAGCGUCCUGGAAGCGAAAUUGGGAAGCUGAUGAGAGAGUCAAUCAGAAAAUUCAAAGAAAUCCUGCUCGUAAUUUGUACGGUGACCUCAUCCCUUUUUGAUUUUUUUUUUUAUUGAAUCAAAUAUUUUUCACAUUACAAAAAUCAGAAAUUGAAAUAAAUAUAAAUAACAAAUGAUCCUUAGUUUAAAUGAUAAGGAUCACGCUUUGGGACCACAAAGUCCUAAGCUUAAUUUCUAUAUUUUUAACCAUUUAAUAUUUUUUUUUUCCUAUUUUGAAUUGCAUUGUUCUAGGUAGGUUUAAAUAUUAUUGUAACUCCUGUAUAAUAUUUCUAUAUUUUUUACCCUAUUUUGAGUUGGACCGUCCAUAACAGGCUGUGAUAUUUUUAUCCGCAGAUUGUACAAUAUUUAUUGUGCAUAAUGUCUAAUGGCGAAAAAAGUUAAAUAUAAUUUUUUUUUCAUUUAAAAAAAGUUUUAAUACAAGGACAAUUGAAGACUUUUUCCCGUUUACUUGGAUUUGCAGUGAACCUGCCAAACUCUCGGACUCAGCGGGCUUGGGCCUGAAGCCCACUGAGUUCUAGUAUUUAAUCAUGGGCAUUAAUGUGUUAUUUCUAUUAUUAUUCGUAACACACGGUAAUACUAAAAUAAAUUUUAAAAACAAAUUGCAAUAUUAUAUCAUGUUUCUAUUCUCCAUCUAUAUAUAUAUAUAUAUAUAUAUAUAUAUAUAUGAUCCUGAAUCAAAAAAAAUUCUCAAAAACCUUACUCGGCACUUUCUCUUUUUUCUUUUUUUAUAAAUUUUCUUUUUUUUUUUCUAAAAAAAUCUCCACAGAGUUGAUGUGGCAUUUUGUUCUUUGAGCUUUUUCUUUUUUCUUUUUUUAUAAAUUUUCUAAUUUUAUAAGUAUUUUUUCUUUUUUUCAGCAUUUUAUUUUCAUUGGAUAAUCUUUCUAAAUGUUUUCAGAUAAUAAUUAAUUAUAUCUAUUUAAUAAUCAUGAUCAUGUUUGAAACUUAAAUAAUACAAACUACUUAAAUCAAAUUUUGAAAUCUAAUCAUUAUUCAUUCAUAUUAUAUAUAAGCUCCUUAAAUAUUUUAGCUGUUCAAUUGCAAAAGAAAACAAAAGAAGCAUAGUAAGUAACAGAGUUUCAAGUUCAAAUAUCUUAAUCUAUGAUUGCUAAUGAUUCUUUUAUUAAUUAUUUUUUAUUUUUUAAUUAUAAAUAUUGGUGUUAAGUUUUAGUAUUAUAGAUUUUUGCCUUAUUUUUGUUCUUUCACUCUCCUUUCAAUCCUUUUAGGCCGCAAGCAAGAGGAUAAAGAACUACCAAAUCUGGAUACAAGCUUCUCUUUUUUUUUCUUUUUUUUCUUUUUUUUUUUUUUUGAGGAUUAAAUUGUUUUUAUUGUUGUUUCAUAAAAAUAUAAUUUUAUAAUUAUGGUAAAUUGUGAUCAAUUAAAUUUGAUAUAUAUAUAUAUAUAUAUUUAUCCUUUUUGAGCUUCUCAAUGCAAUGGGAACAAGAUACUGUAAUCUGAAAGGUUAGCUUCUUAAUCAGUUUAUUUUCAUUUUCUUAUGUUAAUACAGUGUAUAAUAAACCAGCUCAUCAUUUAGCUUAUCUUGCUUUGAGAGAUGAUACGGGCUAGAAAGUAUGGGUGGAAGAAUGUCCUUCAUCUAUUGCUGUGUCUGAUAAGUUGGCCUUGCUUUAUAAAAUUAGUAGUUUCAUUCUAAAAAAAAAAAAAAAAACAUAUAUAUAUAUAUAAUUAUUUUUUAUUUAUUAAUAUUUCACAAAUUAGUUUACUAUUAUAUUUAUAAACAUUAUCAUAAAGAGUUCUCAAGCUAUCCUUUAUUAUUAUUAUUAUUAUUAUUAUAUAUAUAUAUAAGAUCAAAAGAGAAAUCUCUUUACUAUAUAUAUAUUCAAUAAAUACAUUUUAAAAUAACAAAAGAAUUUGAUAAAUUCAAAAUAAAUACAUUUAAUAAAAAAAAAAAGAAAAUUGAGAUACCUUAUCAUUUAUAGUUAAAAUAUUGAAUGGAAUUUCUUUUAUUAUACUAUUAAUAAAUAUUAUAAAGAUAUAUCAAUAGUAAAAAAAAAAAAAAUAGAGUGUGACUUUUUAUUAUUAAAGUAAAAAUAUAUAGAUAAACAUAUGUUCAGGAAUAUGGAUUGAAAAUAUUGAAAUUUAUAGAGAUAAAUAAAAAAAAAUAAAAUGAAAGGUGGUAAAAUUCAUUAAUUUGAUUUAUUUUAAAAUUAAUGUAAAAAACAAUUAACUCGCUAUAGUUUUAGAUUGAAUAGUUUAAUUUUUUGCAUCCAUUUAUUUAUAAUAAUUAUAUAUUUAUUAUUAUCAUCAUUAUAGAUGAAUUUUUUUUAUAUGUUUUUCAAAAUUAUAAUUCUACAAAAAUAACUUAACUAAUACUUAUUGUCUAAGACUUUUGUAUUUAUGUAUUUACCCUAUUUUAGUUUAUAUAUACAUAUAUUAUAUUUUUAUUUACUUCUUCAUUUAUCUGAAGUUGCAAGUUAUUUUUUAAAAAAUAUUUUUUUAUAUGUACAGUAAAAAAGUAACUUCAAAUACAAUGUACAAUAAUAAAAUAAAAAAACAAUCUGCGCAACGCGCAUGCUUUCACUUAAUUAUGAAAAAAAAAAAAAGGCUAAAACAAACAAAACUAAAGUCUAAUUAGUAUUGUUUCUUCAUCAUCGUCAAAUAUACCCAACUGUUUUUUGAACAGUAGAUGACACUACCACAGCAACCAAACAACUAUCCAUCUUAUAGUUAUGUCGAGCCAAUGGAAGAGUGCACAUUUUUAAUUCUCUACUAAUUGAUAUAACCAACCGGUACCAAUAUGUCCUCCCUUGUUUAUUAUUUUCCUUCUUCAAUUUAAUGCUUGGCUACCACUUGAAAGUAUUUUAUUUAUUUAUUUCUGGUAAUUAAUUUUCAAAAUCUUUUCUUUAGUUGAAUUCUUUUUUCUAUAAGUAUUUUUCAUGUCAUUUUCAUACGAGGCUAAUUUCCCGACUACCUAUGUUUUUCUACGGAUUAAAACUCUUAACUUUAUAAAGAUUCUUCCCUAAACUAAAAUCUAUUUUCUAUUCAUUUUUUAAUUAGUUUCUUUAUGUCAUUAAGAAUAAAAGUAUACAAGAUAUAAUAUUAUAAACAAUUAAAAUUUAUAAUUAAAUAGUGUUAAGUUAGUAAGUGAAUAAGGAACUUUCGAUGGAUAAGAUGAGAUGCACGAGUCCUUUCUUCCUUAACUACAAGUUUUAAAUUGAAAUUUUGAAUACAAAAUCUCUUUAAACACUCGAAAGAUGGCAUUUUUCUUUUCUGUUUGGGCAUUCUUAAUGCGAAUUUGAAUUCAUUUUAAAAUUGGAUUUCAAACACUAGAUGGCUAAAUCAAAAAAAAAAAUAUAUUAAGUGAAUGAGUACUGAGGAAAUGAAGAAACAACAUGUGAGAAUUACUUCCAUUUGCCUUGUCUAAGGCUGAGAAAAGUUUGGUUAAGAUGGAAAAGUCGAUCUGAUUAAUUAAGUUCGGUUUUUAGGUUCAAUUAUUUGAAUAUCAAUGUGGUUUAGUUUGAAAUUUUAAAUAUUUUCGGUCUCGAUGUUUAGUUCAAUUAUUCAAGAUAUGUGAUUUUAUAACAAAACCUACUGGAAUUUAUGUGAUUUUAGACCAAACCUACUGGAAUUAACUGAACCAACCUAGACCGAAUUGAAAAGUUUUGUUGGAUUCCAAAUAAAUUUCAUUUUGGCUUCAGUUUAAGAAAAAAAAGUGAAGUUCGGUUUUUUUCGUUUCGGAAGACUGAACCACUGGUUGGACACCCCUAUCUGCCCCUGUCCUACACAUGGGCCAAAUUUCUAAGAGCUAUUCAUAAUGGAAAAAACUUACCUAGACUUAUCUAUGUUCCCACCUAUGGACCAAACUAAUGAAAUUCAAUAUUUUUAUUGAAUCGAAAGUAUUUCUGAUUAUACACUUAGAGAAAAAAGAAUAAAGUCGAAAUACUUUUUAAAAAAUAUUAAAUUUUAUUAAUUUGAUCUAUAAAUGAAGAUAUAAAUUAAAUUUAGAUAUGGGUUUUAGAACGAGAAUAGACGCUAUAGUAACACAAAACAAAGACACGGAAGGGGCCUCGUUCUCUAUGUUGGAACUAUAUGCUAGUGAGGGUUCAGAAUCAGAUGGUCCAAUACACAUUGCAUGGUGAUGUGUCUUCCAGCACCUAUCAAUAGGUUACUGGGUUAAUUAGCCAUUGUGCAGGACAGUGCUUGUUUCAAUGUUGGUCCCUCAUCUUGAUCUGAUGAUGGCCAGGUUCACAAGGCUACCUAUCUAACCAAUAAAUUAAAUCUAGAACUACAUAAUUACUAAUUAAUUAAAUCUAAUUAAUUAAGUAAUUAAUACAAGUGGUAACCACCUUGGUCAGAGCUAUCAACAUCUGAAUUACUAGUAGUCUCACAACUACCUCUUUUAAUAACCUUCAUUUCUUCUAAGCGACUAAUACUACUACUUGGGCUUUCAUUUUUUCUCUUUUCCUUAUUUCUUUUUCUCCAUUCCCAUUUCCUAACCAAAUGUUUCGUGAACAAAAACCCUAAACCCACAAAAAUUGCCAUUGUGCUUCCUCCUCCUAUACCCACCAUUGCCACCAAAACCCACACCGCACCCCACCCUUGUCCAUGUGGCAAUAUUGUCCACAUGGCGGCAAUGUAAGCGGCCGCCAUGAAUGAGGUGGACGCCCACAUCACUUUAUGUGUCACUGCCAAUAAUUUCAUCAUCGAUCUUCGUCGAAAAGGGAUAAUGCUGACUAGGAAAAUAACAACCCCUAGUGACAGAAACAAUGCUAGAAUAUUACAUACCACGAAAACCUUAAAAGAAGUAUGCUUCCCCACCAUACUUUUUCCUGUUGUUUGGUUAAACCCACCAGGCGGGUUUAUGCCGGCUGCGAAUGUAAUGGUGGCAAUCAAAACUGAGACGAUAAUAAUUGUAUUACGUGCAUUACGUAGGCCUUCUCUUUGGACUUCUAACUGUUUUUCCCGGCGGCGAUGCUUGCAGCGGGGGGGGCGAUGGGGGUUGGGAGGAUUUGGAGAUGAAAUUUGUACGUUAUUAGAGGUGUUUCCUGUGUUUUGUAUUUGUUGAACUUCUCUGGAAAUUGGUGGCAUUUGGUCACCUCUCUUGCCUUCUGCAUCUAGUAUUGCUGGUAUAAUCACGAGCGCUCCAGAGUUGCCGACGUCUGACUCAACUACGUCUAGUGCAGUUUGUCCCUUGCGGUUUAUAACAUUCACGUCGGCGUUCAUUUUCAGUAGGUAGAUCACCAUCUGCUCUCAAAUCAAAUCAAAAGAGCAAAGGAUACUGCAAGAUUAGGGUUUCGAUCUGUGAAAAAACACUAAUGGGAGAGACAAUCAAGAAUCGAGAAGCCAAAUUACUCUCAUGCUUAAAAAAGGAGUUAUAGAUGAGAAGAAAAAGAGAGUCUCACAGUGCUAAGUUUUCCAGCAGUUGCUAGAUGCAAAGCAGUAUUGCCGUCAUUAUCGGGCUUAUUAAUAAGCUCUGUGAUGUUGAGAUUCUCCAUCAGGUACUUAAUAGCAUCAAACUGGUUGUUUUUAACUGCCAAAUGAAUGACUGUCUCUCCAUUUUUAGUUAUAAUCUCAGCAGAUUCACGGCUUACUGAUAGAAUCUCGUCGAUGAUGCCGACCCGGCCUUUGAUUGCAGCCCAAUGGAGAGGUGUACGACCAAUGUUAUCUUGUAAAGAAGAAAGGUCUGCAUCAAAUCUUAGCAAUUCUCUGGUUGUCUUGAGAUGGCCUUUGCUGCAAGCCAAGUGUAGAGGAGUGCACCCGUUCUUGUCCUUCUUCCAUGCAAAAACUGGCCUUUUUUUCAAGAUUUCCUUAACAAUUUCUGAGAAAAAAAAAAAAAAAAAAAACAUUAUUUAGACAUUACAUGAGCAGGAUCUAUAUAUUAUAGCAUUCCAAAAUGAAAUUAACGAUAAUCAAAAAGGAAAUUAAAAUUAAGAAAAAGUAGUAUUAUUUUAAUUAAAAAGAAAAUUUCCCUGAAAAUAGGGUGUGAAAGCAUGAUUGUGGUGGCAACUGCAAACAAUUGAACUAAAAAGAAUUAUGUUAAAAAACCAGAAAAAAAAAAAGAAAAAAAAAGAAAAAUUGAUAACAAUGGCCGAUCAAUGAUAAUUAAGUUCCAGGUCCAUCCAAAAACGAAAAGGAAAAUUGUUAUGAACCCAAAUUCCAAAUACUUUUUGGCCUUACACGAUAUUUUCUUGGUUUCACACUAUAAUUGGGUGCUUACUUUUCUGCGCCAGCUAUUAAUUGUGUACUGUGUCUGUAUGGAUGGAGGCAGUCGGUGGAAUCCAGCUGCAUUCUUCCAAGUACAUUUUAAAAAUGUUUUGAACUGUUUUUAGUCAAAACUCAUAAUUCAUACCCUUUAUUUACUGUGUGCAUCAGUGCAUGAGUAGGGAUAGAGAUUGAGCAAGUUGCUUAUAUCGCUUCCAAAUUGAUUUAAAAAUUUCUUUUAAAAUAUUAAUAUCAAAAUCUGUCUAAAAUUUUAAUAUUUAUGCUCGUCCAAAUUAUUUAAAAUAAUAUUUAAAUUUACUUUAAACGGAUUGGGGUGAAUUGAGCAUCCAUAAAACUCACUCUGUUUAUGUAUUUAGUAUCUCACCAGAUUCAUUUAACAUAAAAUAAAACUAGUAAAUAUAUAGAAAAAUUAAAAUAAAUUUUAAAUUCAUAAAUAAACUAAGAGAAACAAAUAAAACUAUUAAAUAUCAUAGAAAUAUUAAAAUAAGCUUUGAAUUUGUAAAAAUCAUAUUUCAUAAAUAAAUUAGGAGAAAAAAAUUUAGUCAUCUUGAUUAUAUCCACAUGUGAAUUAAAAAAUUCACAACAUACAUUCAUAAAUUAAAAAUCUAUUAUAAUAUCAUUAAUAUAAAGUAAAAGUUCAUCAUGAACUCCUAGCUCUUCUGCUAAAUUAAUAUUUGCUCCAAUUCAACUUCCAAAAUAUAAGACAAAAUGAAAAAAACAUAUUUUAUUAUAAAUAAUUUUUAAAAAAUUUAUAUAUAAUGAAUAUAUUAUUGGGUGAUAGGUAGCGGUAGCUUUAAACCCACACUGGAUCUAAACUCAAACUAGAUAAUAGAUUUAAUAUUUCCACUCAUCUUAAAUGCAUUUAAUUAAUAUCAAAUAUGCUUUAAAUGAGUUUUUACAAGUUAGAUAAUUGUGAAAACGGCCCUUCCAUCCAUAUAUAUGUGAGUGCAGAUAUAUACAUCAUCAUCAUCAUGAUCAUCAUUGGAGUAUAAUUACCUGUAUGCCCUCCUAAAGCUGCAACGUGAAGAGAAGUAGUCAAGCCAUCAACCUCCGACAUGAGUAAUCAAUGAAAAUUCAAGAGAUAAUUCACCACCUCAAGCUUCCCUCUUUCACAAGCCACAAACAAAGCACUUUCAUUAUCUCCGUUCACCUUAUAAACCACCCAAGGAUCAGUCUCUAUCAACAGCUUCACCAUUUCCAACUCCCCUUCUCGGCAUGCUCCAUGCAAAGGGGUCUCCAUCUUCUCAUUAACCUCAGACACCAUCUCCGGCCUGAGCUUCACGAUCUCUUUUCCCAAUUCUAGAUGCCCAUGAAGCGCUGCUAUGUGGAGAAUCGUGUUUGAUGACCCUGAAGGGAUUUUUUGGUUAAUUAUGUUUUCAUUUUCUUCAAAUAGGCUAAGGAAGGUAAGCAUAUCGCCUUUCAGGACGAUCUCUUGAAGUCCUCGGUCCAUUUUCGAAGAUUGAAAAGAGAGAAAGAGAGCUGAGAGAAACUAAUGGAGGGAAUGGCUUGUAGGGAAACAAAAGAAGAAGAAGAAGA